UGCCGACUGCCUGAUGCGACGCUUGCGCGUCUUAUCAGGCC
rnacentral:misc_RNA from 1 species